UGUGGCAAGGAUGUGAGAAAGAGGAUGCACUUUUGCACGGCUGGUGGGUGUGCAAACGUGUGCAGCCCCUCUGGGAAACAGUGUGGAGGUUCCUCAAAAAAUUAAAAAUAGAACUACCCUAGGACCCAGCAAUUGCACUACUAGGUAUUUAUCCAA